AGGGUGUAAACGCUGCGGGCUUGGUGUUGGGGUCCGUUAGUUGGGCGGCCCACGUGCCGGAGAGAAGUUGUUAAGCCUGCUGCUUGGGAGGUAUGUCCGCAAGGAUGAAACUUAAAGGAAUUGGCGGGGGAGGCACCGCAACGGGAGGAGCGUGCGGUUCAAUUGGAUUCAACGCCGGAAACUACAUCGGGAGGCGACAGCAGUAUGAUUGCCAGGUUGAUGACCUUGCUUGACAAGCUGAGAGGAGGUGCAUGGCGUAGUCGUGU
rnacentral:rRNA from 1 species